AGCCAGCCCCGGGUCUCGGUCAGGACGUGCCGGCGCCUAUAAGAGCCAGUGCGCUGCGGCCGGAGCCUAUUGUUAGCCGGAGCCGGGGCGGUUCUGGGCAUCUGCUGCCGGGGGCGCCCGAGUUGCCGGAGCCGCCCGGCCCUCUCUGCCUGCCGGCUGGGCUGCCCACCGCCCUCCCUCCCCGCCCUGCCGCCCUGGGAGCUCCCCGGCCGUCGCCGCGGGGCCCGGGGCUCGCUCGCUCCUCCCUACUUCCCACCCGGGUUAGGGCGGCGGCGGCAGCGGGGGCGGCAGAGACCAUCACGGGAGGAGGCAGCUGCGGCGGGGCCGGGGUUGAGAGUGGCAGUGUGACACACAAACUGUUCUUCAGAAUGAAAUGCUAGAAGUUAUCCCCACAAGACGACACUGUCCCCUUGUCCUGCAGUUUUCAGUUCAAGGCAUUUAUCCUCUACCAAUGAAUAAUUGAGAGAGAAUCCUAAUGUACCUGGCUAGCUGGUGUUUCCAACUCAGAUGAUGAGAUCUCCAGCAGUGAUAGUGCUGACAGCUGCGACAGCCUCAAUCCGCCUACCACUGCCAGCUU
rnacentral:sRNA from 1 species